rnacentral:lncRNA from 1 species
UAUUUUCUUGUAAACUUUCGAUGUGGGACUCCUUUCCAUAUAAAAAUCACUUAAAAUGGGCUUAUCAACAUAUGGGCCUAUAUUGGAGACUUUUCCAAUUCACUCAAAUUAAUUGCAAUGACCCAUAUCAUUAAAUAUUACAUUUAAUAUUUUAAACCCAAAUCAAACCCAAAUCAAAUUCAAUUAAUUCCAACAAGGGCAUCUGCACCCAAAAUGUGAUGUAGAAUGGUACAUUUCAUGCUCUGCCUCGUCCCCGUCUCUCUUCUCUCCUGUUAGUUACCUUGACAAUGUCUGACCACAAUCUUGACCCUCCAAUUUGAUUUCUUAUCGACGAGUUAUCAUGAUCUUGAUCUGAAAUACUUACAAAAUGACAAGUUUAAAAAUUUAACAUGAAAAGGUUGUUUAAUUGGAUGCUAGCAGAACCUAAUUG